GUGUGGCCCCUCCCUCUCUCAGAGUAUGAAGAAGGGGUGGGAGAGAUCAGGGGGAAGCUCUGCUUCAGCUGUGGGGCCACAGAAGGCAGGACUCGGUGAAGAUCUCCACCAUGGCCUGGUCCCCUCUCCUCCUCACCCUCAUCGCUCUCUGCACAGGAUCCUGGGCCCAGUCUGUGACUCAGCCCGCCUCAGUGUCUGGGACCCUGGGCCAGACAGUCACCAUCUCCUGCUCUGGAAGCAGCUCCAACAUCGGGUAUAGUA